ensembl:lncRNA
GUUCUCUCUCUCUGUGUUCUACUGAUCUGAAGGUGUUCUCUCUCUCUCUCUGUGUUCUACUGAUCUGAAUGUGUUCUCUCUCUGUGUUCUACUGAUCUGAAGGUGUUCUCUCUCUCUCUCUGUGUUCUACUGAUCUGAAGGUGUUCUCUCUCUCUCUCUGUGUUCUGCUGAUCUGAAGGUGUUCUCUCUGUGUUCUACUGAUCUGAAGGUGUUCUCUCUGUGUUCUACUGGUCUGAAUGUGUUCUCUCUGUGUUCUACUGAUCUGAAUGUGUUAUCUCCUCUCUCUGUGUUCUCCUGUUCUGAA